UUCAAAUCUUGAGAUUUGUACCUGUAGGCAAUGAUGUAAAGCAAUAAUGUUCAUUCUAAAGCAUACAAUUUAAGCAAAUUGUAAGCAUAUCAAUGUGAUGACAAUAGGAAUUCGGUGUUACAAAAUGAAAGGAACUAUAUAGGAAUAAGUAAUCGUAAUUCAUAAGAUCUAUUUCAUCCUCAUAUCUCUUCUCAUGGCAUGAUAAACAACCUGGACCUGAAUAACAACCAAAGUAACCUUGUACACGUGGAAGUAAAAUUUCUACAAAUGGGAAUCUAGGUUGUUAAGUAGAAUAUAUUUGAGCAUUACAAAACAGGAUGCUACCUCCUCAUUCGAAACCACAAGAAUCCUCCCCAAAAACAUUCCCCCUAGUAGAUAUUUUCCGACUUGCUUCGCGAUGUACAAACCAAAUUGAGAUGUUAUCUUAAUUAAAACUAACGUUCAUUUAUUUGUAUGGCAAACGAAAGAUAUACACAUAACCAAAUACUACAAUAAACAGCUAGCUAUGCUCAAAAGCUUGUGACCGUAAAUAUAUAUGGAUUAUUUAUCCAAAAGUCCGUGGUGUUAAGAAAGAUGUUAUAUUGCGCAAAGAUAGUUCCCACAUCAAAUCUAUGGCGCAUAUGUUACCACAUAUUGUUGGGGUACACAUUUUAUAUAUUGGAAACAAACCCUAGAAAAAAGAAACUCCUUUAUCAUCACUCCAUGAAAUAAAAAAACACAUGACGAGGAGAAUUACCAUCGUAAUAUUAAACCUGAACACAAACGGUCUUAGUUACAUAGAAGUCAGCUAGAAUUAGAAACAUUGGAGCUAAUUACUUAACCAAUUAAAUUUUCCUUGAGACACUAAUCAAACCAUAAAACCCUCAAUACAAGUCCACUAAUUACUUAAAUUAGCAUAAGGGUUUAAAAAAAUCGCACCUAUUGACUCCGGCACACGUUGGAAACGCGGAAAGAUCAACAUGCUUGUUGGGCAGAUCGAUCUUGCCGCAGUUGGUCCACUAAGAAAACCAUAAUGCUGCACUUGGUGUAAACUGCAGGGGGGAAAGAUAUUUCAGCUAGAACCAAUAUUUUUGACCUGAUGCACUGAUAAGAGAACACACAGGAAGCCGGUUAAGAAAAACUAAACCACAUGCGUUUUAUACAAACCGUACACACACUAUUGAUACAGAGCCGACCCAUCCACCUUGAAUCUUUCUGAACUUACAAUCCAGUUAAAUAUAUAAAACUGAGUAUGGUACUAAAUAUCCAACUAUCUGGAUUUCUCUACAAACAAUCUCAACUUGGAACCAGUAUAGUAUGAAAACUUCCCUGGUAGGAUUGAGGAAACAGAGAUACCUUGAUCACAUGGAUUUUGCUCUGCCACGUUUGCUGGAAAUCCCUAAUUACCGGCUAGAAAAUUCUCACCCACUCCAAGCCGCACAAACUGUUCUUCUCACCCUCAGUCCUUCUUCAGAUGCACACAUUCGUCAUUUGGUUAAAUGAUGGAAAAAAUUGCAUGAACAAUCAAUGUAUAUACCUGAAUUAAACAGUAGCUACAAUGGUCACGCACUUCAUCUUCUAUUCUAUUCGAGUGGAUACCAGAUCAAGCUAGUUGAUGGUGCUCUGAAAGUCAAUGUACAUCUGAUACACCACGUUGAUAAUUUUUUGCUGUUUCAUGGGCCACACUAUUGCUAUCUCAUGCAAAUCUCCCGCAGAUUUCCUCUGAACCGACCUAAAUCUGAUACACCACGCAGCCUAACAAAGCAAGAAAAUGCACCAAACUGAAUCAUGUUUUGCAUAAGCAGAUUAUAAGAUAAUUCUGAAGGGUUCUGUGUAAUAAACAAUUUAAGGCAGCACAUGCAUGUCGGAGGACCAUAUACUGACGAAUACAAUACAUAACACUGUACUCUGAAAGUCAAUGUCGUUGUACUCACUUAUUUCCUCUUACAACAAAUACAUAGUGACGAAUUAAUGCAAGCGAUCUUUACUUUAAUCCAUAUGUUGUGUUAUUAACUACAUGAACAUGAGAAACUGAGACUCAAAUAUUUCGUUUGUGCCAUUGCAAACCUAGUUAGGUCUCUUCUCUCCAAUAAUCAAAAGAGAAUACAUG
rnacentral:lncRNA from 1 species